rnacentral:pre_miRNA from 1 species
AUAAUACUCUUUUCGUCUGAAAAUACUUAUCUGAGAAAUGGAUAUAUCUAGACGUGUUUUAGUUUUAGAUGCAUUCAUUUGUAUCUAUUUCUAUGACAAAUAUUUUUGGACGGAGAGAGUACGUG